GACGAACGCUGGCGGCGUGCCUAAUACAUGCAAGUAGAACGCUGAAGAGAGGAGCUUGCUCUUCUUGGAUGAGUUGCGAACGGGUGAGUAACGCGUAGGUAACCUGCCUGGUAGCGGGGGAUAACUAUUGGAAACGAUAGCUAAUACCGCAUAAAAUUGAUUAUUGCAUGAUAAUUAAUUGAAAGAUGCAACUGCAUCACUACCAGAUGGACCUGCGCUGUAUUAGCUAGUUGGUGAGGUAACGGCUCACCAAGGCGACGAUACAUAGCCGACCUGAGAGGGUGAUCGGCCACACUGGGACUGAGACACGGCCCAGACUCCUACGGGAGGCAGCCGUAGGGAAUCUUCGGCAAUGGGGGGAACCCUGACCGAGCAACGCCGCGUGAGUGAAGAAGGUUUUCGGAUCGUAAAGCUCUGUUGUAAGAGAAGAACGGGUGUGAGAGUGGAAAGUUCACACUGUGACGGUAUCUUACCAGAAAGGGACGGCUAACUACGUG
rnacentral:rRNA from 1 species